rnacentral:rRNA from 1 species
UGGGGGAAUAUUGCACAAUGGGCGAAAGCCUGAUGCAGCAACGCCGCGUGAGUGAUGAAGGUCUUCGGAUUGUAAAGCUCUGUCUUUUGGGACGAUAAUGACGGUACCAAAGGAGGAAGCCACGGCUAACUACGUGCCAGCAGCCGUGGUAAUACGUAGGUGGCGAGCGUUGUCCGGAUUUACUGGGCGUAAAGGGUGCGUAGGCGGAUGUUUAAGUGAGAUGUGAAAUACCCGGGCUUAACUUGGGUGCUGCAUUUCAAACUGGAUAUCUAGAGUGCAGGAGAGGAGAAUGGAAUUCCUAGUGUAGCGGUGAAAUGCGUAGAGAUUAGGAAGAACACCAGUGGCGAAGGCGAUUCUCUGGACUGUAACUGACGCUGAGGCACGAAAGCGUGGGUAGCAAACAGGAUUAGAUACCCUGGUAGUCCACGCCGUAAACGAUGAGUACUAGGUGUAGGAGGUAUCGACCCCUUCUGUGCCGCAGUAAACACAUUAAGUACUCCGCCUGGGAAGUACGAUCGCAAGAUUAAAACUCUAAAGUGAAUUGAC